UCAAACUGGCCCGGCUCGAAGGCUCACCUUCGAGCCAGACUGGGCUCAGUUCAGCUUGAGGUUGAGCUGAACCCCCCAGACCAUUUCAGGGUUUUGUUUUGAUUUUUAAAUAAUAAAUGGUGGAUUUAGAGAUAGAGCAGUGGAAGAUUUCUAAUGCAUCAGUUCUAUUUCAGAAACAUGGCCAGGUAAUUUGGAACUCAGCAUUUCAAAUGAGAAGAAUUUUGGAAGCUUCCCUAUUAAGAUGCACACGGUAGAGUAGUAUUGAGGUAUUGAUUUUAAAAAAAUUAUAUUUCACCUACCACCACCCACCCACCCACCCACCCAUUGCAGUGUUUCCCAAGCAUCUGAUAGCUUUGGCACCAUUUCCCCCCCUAAAUUAAUACUGGAAAUUAAGCCAUUCAUGCAACCCUAAUGUGUGAAAGAACCCUGCCCAGAAAGCUCACACAGUUCUCGCUUUUUAAAAUUGUAUGUGUUAUAUGCAGAUGGUGUUAACCUGCAUAGUAAUGCACUAAAGAAUUUGAUGGUGCCUCUGGCAGUGAUUGGCUGAGAACCCUGACUGUCUCAAAGGGCAGAAUAGUCUCUGGCUGCUACUGGUUGAACUGCUCUGAUCUAAGAGUGGUACAGGGCAGUCAGAAGGACCAGGGGAGAAGCGGAAAAGAGGCACAGGAAAAAGAGAAGGCAGGAAAGCAUGGUGGUGGGACCAGGCUCAGAAAAGGGGUUGAAAAGAAAAUGCUUCCGAUCAAUAGGCAGAAGGGAAACACAGGAGGAAGAGCUUAAGAAGAGAAGUCAAACAGGAGAGGUGGUGCCCAUGACCAGAUACUGCAGAGAACCCGGGGAAUUUCUGCUACAGAACUAUGAGGCCAAAGAAGGCAUGGAAGGCAACUCCCCCACCUCUCCCUCCCUGCAGCAGCCCCCGAAAAGCCGCUCCAGAAGGUCAAGGGACUCGCCGGAUGGGGGUGGGACUGAGGCGUUGGCAGCUGCAAGGGGUGAAUGGAAUUUCUGAAUAUAAGGAUUCCCCACGGGACAAAUGGCUACACAAACAAACUGCAAAAGAUUACUGAAUAACAUACAACACAUGCCUAAUUAUACACAUGUCCUGAGUUGUUGGCCGAGUAUUUCUCCUUUGGCAAACUCCUUCUGCUGUGUGAGGAGAUGGCUCUAAUGAAAAUCAAGAAAGCAGCUUGGAGACCUCUGAUCUGUUGUCAAUUCAUCAAUGAGGGUAUUUAAGAGAACGUCUUCUUUGACAUGAGCCCCACCGCCUGUUAAGACCAUCUGGAGAGAUUCGUCUAUGGUUGCCGCUGACUAGGGAUGGGCCUUCUCCAUUGCUGCCCCUGGACUUUGGAAUGCGCUCCCUGUUGAAUUAAGAGCCUCCCCAUCUCUGGCAACUUUUUAGAAGGCACUGAAGACACAUUCACUGAAGACACAUUCACCAAGGCUUUUAAUUAGAUUUAUAGUUUUAAUACUUUUAAUGUUGAGUUUGAAACAAUUUUAAUGUUUAAAUGUUUUUAAUUGUUUUAAUUGAUUAAUUGAUUUUAAUGUUUAAAUUAUUUUAAUUGUAAACCACCUAGAGACACACAUUUUGGGUGGUAUAGAAAUAUGUUAAAUAAAACAAAUAAUAAAAUAAAUAAAAUAUUUAUAUACCACCUCUAACCAGAGGUCUCAAGGCAGUUCACAGCCAAUUAACAUACCCAUAUUUAAAAUGGUUUUUGAAGUACCUGGACACCAUGGCCAUCGUGGACAUCAACCCCUGGACACCAUGGCCAAAGACCAGGGGUGAUGGGAACUGUAGUUUAAAAAAUAAUAAAUUACCAGUUGGGGUACCCCACAGCUGGUUUUUGAGAAAGGAAAAAAAUGUGGGGAGUUCAGAUCACAGCAUCGUCAUGUCUUGUGUAGUUGGGCUUCACAGGCUGAUGACUCACAAUGUUUCAUUUGAUUGUGAGUUACUAUUGUUAUAAACAAUUAAAUUGGCCUGUUCACUAGGUGUAGAUAUCAGAUACUAAUCUCUUUCCUGAGAAAAGGGGGCGAUUAUUUUAGCGAUUAUGUGAUGUUCCAGUGUGGGAAUUCCCACAUCAAGUCUCAUUUGAUCUUGACUAGCUGGAUUGUGUCUAACGCAGGAGUUCUUAAACUUGAGUCCCAAGAUGUUGUUGGACUACAUCUCCCAUCGUCCUCAGCCACAGUGGCCUUUGACUGGGGAUGAUGGGCUUGGUAGUAACCCACUUCUGAGAAUCCCUGGUCUGAGGAGUCUCCCAUUUUAUGUUUUGACCUGUGAUAGCAAGUAAUGUUGCAGGAAAAGUGAGCUUGGCACUCUUUUUAUUAUUGGGUUUAUAAAGGCAUUUUCUUAUGUUUCACGUAUGGAACAAGGAACUCUUAAUGCUUUUUCUAUUCGAUUUUCCCAGUGAAAGCAAAUUGCAAAACACACAAGCAACUGGGCCCCUGCCUUU